CGGUACCUGCAGAAGAAGCGCCGGCUAACUACGUGCCAGCAGCCGCGGUAAUACGUAGGGCGCAAGCGUUAUCCGGAAUUAUUGGGCGUAAAGAGCUCGUAGGCGGUUUGUCGCGUCUGCCGUGAAAGUCCGGGGCUCAACUCCGGAUCUGCGGUGGGUACGGGCAGACUAGAGUGAUGUAGGGGAGACUGGAAUUCCUGGUGUAGCGGUGAAAUGCGCAGAUAUCAGGAGGAACACCGAUGGCGAAGGCAGGUCUCUGGGCAUUAACUGACGCUGAGGAGCGAAAGCAUGGGGAGCGAACAGGAUUAGAUACCCUGGUAGUCCAUGCCGUAAACGUUGGGCACUAGGUGUGGGGGACAUUCCACGUUUUCCGCGCCGUAGCUAACGCAUUAAGUGCCCCGCCUGGGGAGUACGGCCGCAAGGCUAAAACUCAAAGGAAUUGACGGGGGCCCGCACAAGCGGCGGAGCAUGCGGAUUAAUUCGAUGCAACGCGAAGAACCUUACCAAGGCUUGACAUGAACCGGUAAGACCUGGAAACAGGUCCCCCGCUUGCGGUCGGUUUACAGGUGGUGCAUGGUUGUCGUCAGCUCGUGUCGUGAGAUGUUGGGUUAAGUCCCGCAACGAGCGCAACCCUCGUUCUAUGUUGCCAGCACGUGAUGGUGGGGACUCAUAGGAGACUGCCGGGGUCAACUCGGAGGAAGGUGGGGACGACGUCAAAUCAUCAUGCCCCUUAUGUCUUGGGCUUCACGCAUGCUACAAUGGCCGGUACAAAGGGUUGCGAUACUGUGAGGUGGAGCUAAUCCCAAAAAGCCGGUCUCAGUUCGGAUUGGGGUCUGCAACUCGACCCCAUGAAGUCGGAGUCGCUAGUAAUCGCAGAUCAGCAACGCUGCGGUGAAUACGUUCCCGGGCCUUGUACACACCGCCCGUCAAGUCACGAAAGUUGGUAACACCCGAAGC
rnacentral:rRNA from 1 species